rnacentral:rRNA from 1 species
GAUGAACGCUGGCGGCGUGCCUAAUACAUGCAAGUCGAGCGAACGGACGAGAAGCUUGCUUCUCUGCUGUUAGCGGCGGACGGGUGAGUAACACGUGGAUAACCUACCUAUAAGACUGGGAGAACUUCGGGAAACCGGAGCUAAUACCGGAUCAUAUUUUGAACCGCAUGGUUCAAAAGUUAUAGACGGUCUUGCUGUCACUUAUAGAUGGAUCCGCGCUGCAUUAGCUAGUUGGUAAGGUAACGGCUUACCAAGGCAACGAUGCAUAGCCGACCUGAGAGGAUGAUCGGCCACACUGGAACUGAGACACGGUCCAGACUCCUACGGGAGGCAGCAGUAGGGAAUCUUCCGCAAUGGGCGAAAGCCUGACGCAGCAACGCCGCGUGAGUGAUGAAGGUCUUCGGAUCGUAAAACUCUGUUAUUAGGGAAGAACAGAUGUGUAAGAAACUGUGCACAUCUUGACGGUACCCAAUCAGAAAGCAACGGCUAACUACGUG